ACCUAAGCUAAUUAACUAGUUAAAUAAGCUAAUACAAGUGUUUUGUAGUAAGCUUAUUGAAAGAGCUUAUUUACCUCAAUAAGCUUUUUUCCAAAACUUUGGGUUGAGCAACAUAUUCAAAGAGCUGAUUUGUUUUGGUGAAAUUAAAUUACAAGUUACCCUCUUGUAAACCCUAUGACAUACAAUGAAGCAAAGCAAAAUUAGUAUUAUCACUUCUUCCCUCAGCCGUCCACCACUCCAUAGAAGAUCUGGUUCUCAACUUCUCAAGAUAUAUCAUGUAUUGAAGACUAUUCCACAAAGUUUAGCUAUUGGGCCAAUUAAGAUGGCACCCAAUAACAAAAGAGUCAAUGACGAAACAUAAGGUGGGGUGAAUCGGGCUAAUUGGUCUAAAGAAAAUUUACAUGUGUUCAGUGAUUUGUGUAUUAAAUUUACAAAGAGGAGUAAGGGUAAGCAUGGUUCCACAACCUCACAACGAAUUCCAUGGAAGGUGUUCGAGGUAGAGUUUCAAAAAAAAAACCUUAGUGUAUGAAAAGAACAAACUAAAAAACAAGUGGGAUCACAUGAGGAGUAGAUGGAGCCUUUGGAAAGCUUUGAAAGGAAAAGAAACCGGAUUGGGAUGGGAUCAUAAAAAAGGGACUAUAAGUGCUAGUGAGGAGUGGUGGAAAAACAAAAUUGAGGUUAGUAGCUUCCAUCCUUUUACCUAUUUUUUAUUUUGCCAAUGUUAGGAAAGCAAUUUGAUUUUUUUUUUUUAAUUUUUUUUUUUCAUUUUUAAUUUUCAUAGGAAAAUGCCCACUAUAAGACAUUUCAAGAUGAAGUGAUUGAUCCAGAUUUGGAGUUAAAGAUGGACUAAUUAUUUGGAGUAUUAGUUGCUCAAGGGGUGCAUACUCCAGUUCAAAUUGAAAAAGAAGAUGUUUAUUACAUUCAUUCCCCUCCGAGUGUUAAUGUUGGUGAUGUACCAUUUCAAUAUGAUGAUGAGAUGAGUGAGAAUGGUGCAUUUAACAACAUCCAAUCUAGGAGGGAAUGGAAAGAAGUUUGGAAUGAUAAUGCCUCCAUUCCAUCUCUUUCUCCUACUUCUCAUUCUCCUACUCCACCAUGUAAUGAGUAUACUAGAAAAGGAAGUAAAAGGGUCUUUGAAUGUAAUGAUCUUUCAGAGAGCUCUAAAAGUUGUAAGACUGAAACAUAAAAAAAAAGAGGCUUUGUAAUGUUACUUGAGAAA